GACACAGGUGCUGCAUGCUGUCGUCAGCUCGUGUCGUGAGAUGUUGGGUUAAGUCCCCGCAACGAGCGCAACCCCUGCAUUCAGUUGCCAUCGGGUAAUGCCGGGCACUCUGGAAGGACUGCCAUCGACAAGAUGGAGGAAGGUGGGGAUGACGUCAAGUCAUCAUGGCCCUUAUGUCCAGGGCGACACACGUGCUACAAUGGCCGGCACAACGGGAAGCGAGUUCGCGAGGACGAGCGGAUCCCUUAAAGCCGGUCGCAGUUCGGAUUGAAGUCUGCAACUCGACUUCAUGAAGCUGGAAUCGCUAGUAAUCGUGGAUCAGCCAAGCCGCGGUGAAUACGUUCCCGGGCCUU
rnacentral:rRNA from 1 species